rnacentral:rRNA from 1 species
AUUGAACGCUGGCGGCAGGCUUAACACAUGCAAGUCGAGCGGGGUGAUGGUGCUUGCACUAUCACUUAGCGGCGGACGGGUGAGUAAUGCUUAGGAAUCUGCCUAUCAGUGGGGGACAACAUCUCGAAAGGGAUGCUAAUACCGCAUACGUCCUACGGGAGAAAGCAGGGGAUCACUUGUGACCUUGCGCUAAUAGAUGAGCCUCAGUCGGAUUAGCUAGUUGGUGGGGUAAAGGCCUACCAAGGCGACGAUCUGUAGCGGGUCUGAGAGGAGGAUCCGCCACACUGGGACUGAGACACGGCCCAGACUCCUACGGGAGGCAGCAGUGGGGAAUAUUGGACAAUGGGGGGAACCCUGAUCCAGCCAUGCCGCGUGUGUGAAGAAGGCCUUAUGGUUGUAAAGCACUUUAAGCGAGGAGGAGGCUCUUUUGGUUAAUACCCAAGAUGAGUGGACGUUACUCGCAGAAUAAGCACCGGCUAACUCUGUGCCAGCAGCCGCCGUAA